UACGGAGGGUGCAAGCAUUAAUCGGAAUUAUUGGGCGUAAAGGACGCGUAGGCGGAUAUAUAAGUUAGGUGUGAAAUUCCAAAGCUCAACUUUGGAGCGGCACUUAAUACUGUAAAUCUAGAGGUUUGGCGGAGAAAACGGAAUUCCACGUGUAGCGGUGAAAUGCGUAGAUAUGUGGAGGAACACCUGUGGCGAAAGCGGUUUUCUAGCCUAGACCUGACGCUGAGGCGUGAGAGCAAGGGGAUCAAACAGG
rnacentral:rRNA from 1 species